ACCGGUGCGAGACCCUCUAUAACGUCUACAUCAUCCACAAGUAUGACCACCACCGGUGCAGUGAGAACCUCUACAACGUCUACAUCAUCCACAAGUAUGACCACCACCGGUGCAGUGAGACCCUCUACAACGUCUACAUCAUCCACAAGUAUGACCACCACCGGUGCAGUGAGAACCUCUACAACGUCUACAUCAUCCACAAGUAUGACCACCACCGGUGCAGCCAUGGAAGAUGAUGAAAUGGAGGAAGCAUCUCUGGAUCUAUGACCACCUGAGAUUAUUAUGACCCUCACGGAAGUCACUGAGGACCUUGUUGAACAGGAUGUGGCCGUGGAGACAAACCUGAUACUCACAGGUGCCAACCCUGAAGAGACUGUCUCAGCAAAGAAAAGGUUCAAAUUCAUCAGCUGCUUUCGAUGCCGAGUUCAAUGAGAUGGAGUCAAUUUAGCCGAUCAGCUCAAAGGAAGGACAGGAAGAGGAGACUUGUCUGGUUGUCCUCCAAUGGGUUUUGAGCGGGAGGUGAGGAGAGAGGAUGUAACGCUUCUCGUUGGUGGAAAGAGAAGAGGACCAAGGUGCAGCGUGAGCAAGGAAGAUGUAGGGCCUCAUGAGGUCGGGUCUCAAAGGGAAGGAAGGCCUCGUCAUCGACGAAGACGUGGGGAACAGGUCCCAGGUCUUCAGCCCCAGGGAGUGAUGCAGGUGGUAGAAUCUCCAGG